rnacentral:sRNA from 1 species
ACUGGGUGUGGUGGUGCAUUUCUGUAAUCCCAGCUACCCAGGAGGCUGAGGCAGGAGGAUUGCAAGUUCAGGGACAGCCUCUGCAAUGUAGUGAGAUCCUGUUUCAU